AGGCCUACCAAGACUAUGAUGUGUAGCCGGGCUGAGAGGUUGAACGGCCACAUUGGGACUGAGACACGGCCCAAACUCCUACGGGAGGCAGCAGUAGGGAAUUUUCGGCAAUGGAGGAAACUCUGACCGAGCAACGCCGCGUGAACGAUGAAGUAUUUCGGUACGUAAAGUUCUUUUAUUAGGGAAGAAUAAAUGAUGGAAAAAUCAUUCUGACGGUACUAAUGAAUAAGCCCCGGCUAACUAUGUGCCAGCAGCCGCGGUAAUACAUAGGGGGCAAGCGUUAUCCGGAAUUAUUGGGCGUAAAGGGUGCGUAGGCGGUUAAAUAAGUUUAUGGUCUAAGUGCAAUGCUCAACAUUGUGAUGCUAUAAAAACUGUUUAGCUAGAGUAAGAUAGAGGCAAGUGGAAUUCCAUGUGUAGUGGUAAAAUGCGUAAAUAUAUGGAGGAACACCAGUAGCGAAGGCGGCUUGCUGGGUCUUUACUGACGCUGAGGCACGAAAGCGUGGGGAGCAAACAGGAUUAGAUACCCUGGUAGUCCACGCCGUAAACGAUGAGUACUAAACGUUGGGUAAAACCAGUGUUGAAGUUAACACAUUAAGUACUCCGCCUGAGUAGUACGUACGCAAGUAUGAAACUUAAAGGAAUUGACGGGACUCCGCACAAGCGGUGGAUCAUGUUGUUUAAUUCGAAGGUACCCGAAAAACCUCACCAGGUCUUGACAUGCUUCUGCAAAGCUGUAGAAACACAGUGGAGGUUAUCAGUUGCACAGGUGGUGCAUGGUUGUCGUCAGCUCGUGUCGUGAGAUGUUGGGUUAAGUCCCGCAACGAGCGCAACCCUUAUUGUUAGUUACCAGCACGUAAUGGUGGGGACUUUAGCAAGACUGCCAGUGAUAAAUUGGAGGAAGGUGGGGACGACGUCAAAUCAUCAUGCCCCUUAUGACCUGGGCUACAAACGUGAUACAAUGGCUGUUACAAAGGGUAGCUGAAGCGCAAGUUUUUGGCGAAUCUCAAAAAAACAGUCUCAGUUCGGAU
rnacentral:rRNA from 1 species